UACGUAGGGGGCAAGCGUUGUCCGGAAUCAUUGGGCGUAAAGCGCGUGUAGGCGGUUCGGUAAGUCUGCUGUGAAAGUCCAGGGCUCAACCCUGGGAUGCCGGUGGAUACUGCGGGGCUAGAGUACGGAAGAGGCGAGUGGAAUUCCCGGUGUAGCGGUGAAAUGCGCAGAUAUCGGGAGGAACACCUAUUGCGAAGGCAGCUCGCUGGGACGUUACUGACGCUGAGACGCGAAAGCGUGGGGAGCAAACAGG
rnacentral:rRNA from 1 species